rnacentral:rRNA from 1 species
GAUGAACGCUGGCGGCGUGCCUAACACAUGCAAGUCGAGCGAUUCUCUUCGGAGAAGAGCGGCGGACGGGUGAGUAACGCGUGGGUAACCUGCCCUGUACACACGGAUAACAUACCGAAAGGUAUGCUAAUACGAGAUAAUAUGCUUUUAUCGCAUGGUAGAAGUAUCAAAGCUCCGGCGGUACAGGAUGGACCCGCGUCUGAUUAGCUAGUUGGUAAGGUAACGGCUUACCAAGGCGACGAUCAGUAGCCGACCUGAGAGGGUGAUCGGCCACAUUGGAACUGAGACACGGUCCAAACUCCUACGGGAGGCAGCAGUGGGGAAUAUUGCACAAUGGGCGAAAGCCUGAUGCGGCAACGCCGCGUGAGCGAUGAAGGCCUUCGGUCGUAAGCUCUGUCCUCAAGAGAUAAUGACGGUACUUGAGGAGGAAGCCCCGGCGUAACUACGUGCC